UUAUCUAUUUUGGUUUGGUUCGGUUCGGUACGGUUCGGUUUUGUCAUAUUUAACUGCCCUAGUUUAACUAAAAAGGUAGAAGCUAUGGACCUUAAAAGCUAUAAUAAAGCAUGCACAGAUUUUUAUUUCUUCGACCAAAAAACAAUUGGGACACAAGCCUCUCCGUCUCGCACGUCGCUCUUACCGGUCAAAGCGCAAAAUGUCC
rnacentral:lncRNA from 1 species